rnacentral:rRNA from 2 species
GCAAGUCGACGCGUUGGCCCAACUGAUUGAACGUGCUUGCACGGACUUGACGUUGGUUUACCAGCGAGUGGCGGACGGGUGAGUAACACGUAGGUAACCUGCCCCAAAGCGGGGGAUAACAUUUGGAAACAGAUGCUAAUACCGCAUAACAAUUUGAAUCGCAUGAUUCAAAUUUAAAAGAUGGCUUCGGCUAUCACUUUGGGAUGGACCUGCGGCGCAUUAGCUUGUUGGUAGGGUAACGGCCUACCAAGGCUGUGAUGCGUAGCCGAGUUGAGAGACUGAUCGGCCACAAUGGAACUGAGACACGGUCCAUACUCCUACGGGAGGCAGCAGUAGGGAAUCUUCCACAAUGGGCGCAAGCCUGAUGGAGCAACACCGCGUGAGUGAAGAAGGGUUUCGGCUCGUAAAGCUCUGUUGUUAGAGAAGAACGUGCGUGAGAGCAACUGUUCACGCAGUGACGGUAUCUAACCAGAAAGUCAC